GGAGGUGUAGGUUAACGGUAGAAAACUACACUUGCCUGGCAUGCAUGAGGCCCUAGGUUCAACCCUAAGUACCACCA
rnacentral:tRNA from 1 species